GCUUUUAUGCAUUAUUUGAUUUGGUAUAUAUUCAAUAAAAACUAGUAACAUCUAAAAGAUUUAUCGUUGUGCUAUGAUUAGUUGCCAUAAUUUCUGGUAGAUUGUAAGGUAUUUGAUGAUCCGCUGAGUAAUAAACCCCAACUCUCAACAAAAUGUGGAACCUAAGCGAAUCCAUUUUGGGGGAAAAUGAGGAGCAACAAGAUAAUCUGUUUGGUGAUCAAGAAGCCCUCUGCUCUCUUUCUCCUUUACAGAGAGUUUAUGGUUUCGCUGCCUGUCUGCUCGCGGGCUUGAUUUGUAUGUUCCUGUCAAUGAUUGUGUUCAUCAAGCCCAUCAAAUUUGCCCUGUUAUUUACUUUUGGCAACAUGUUGGCCAUUGGAAGCACAGCUUUUCUCGUUGGACCUAUGCAGCAACUAUCAAUGAUGAUGGAUCCUGUUCGUUUCUAUGCCACAUCCAUUUAUGUGGGAUGUGUUGUUUUAGCUCUCAUUUGUGCACUCUUGAUCCACAGUAAGAUUUUGACACUACUUGCAAUCAUAUGCGAAAUCUGUGCCCUAAUCUGGUACAGUUUAAGUUAUAUUCCUUUUGCCCGUAGAAUGGUUUCAAAUGUCACCAUCCGCCUUUUUGAUACUGAAAUCUAGUGGAUUUGAUGCUGAAGCAACAUCACUCCAGUAUAUUUUUCAGUGCUGGACUCUAGUCUACUUAACCUGAAAGUGGUGCUUCCCCGCGGAUUAUUUUGAAGAGAUUGAUAAUUCUUUCCGGUUUCCCUCUGAUGACAGAAGGAACUCCACUUUUCAAUCAGAACCAGAAGCUCACAAGCUUGGAAUAUGAUCAGCAUUGUGGUCUGCAGGAAGAUCCACCCUUACAAGAUGUGAAAGGCUAUCAAAGGUUGAUAGGGAAGUUGCUCUAUUUGACAUUGACUAGGCCUGACAUUGCAUAUAGUAUUCAAACUCUGAGUCAAUUCAUGUAGACACCUAAGAAGUCUCAUUUAGAGGCAGCUCAUAGAGUGGUCAGAUAUGUUAAGAGUGAACCAGGCCUUGGAAUUCUGAUGUAUGUAGAGGGUAAAACUAUUUUGACAGCAUUCUGUGAUGCUGAUUGGACAAGUUGUCCAAACUCAAGGAAGUCAGAAACUAGUUACAUUGUGAAAUUCGGAGUCCUUAAUAUCAUGGAAGUCCAAGAAACAGAACACAGUAGCUAGAAGUUCAGCAGAAUCAGAAUAUAGAAGCAUGGCUCUAACAGUGUCUGAAUUGAUCUGGUUGUUUGGAUUGUUCAAGUGUCUAGGAGUUGAAAUUCCUACACCAAUUCAGUUGUUUACAGAUAUGCUAGCCUUUUCCCAACCUAGUAAAGGGGCUGCUAGUUGUAGCGUGCAGUGUACUAGUGAAUAGGAAAAGCGGAGCUCUAAGUUGGAAUUCAAUAGUGAAAGAAAUGGUCAUCUGUGCUCCACAGCUACUGAUGUCAUCACCCUGCAAAGAGGUGGAACCAACCAAGACUGAACACUAGCCCCAUUUUGUAGACGGGUUGGGACCGACCUUCUAUCCCGGUGAACAAUGUUCCACUGAUUAGGCGGGGACAGGAUUCGAACCUGCAAUCUUCAUGCAGAUAGCCAACAAUCCUGUGUUCCAUGAGAGAACAAAGCGCAUAGAAAUUGAUUGCCAUUUUAUACGAGAAAAGGUGCAACAAGGUUUAAUACAUCCAAAAUAUGUUUCAAUAACUGAACAUGAGGCAGAUUUGUUGACAAAGGGACUUGGAAGCCAUCAACACUACCAUCUAUUGUCCAAGCUUGGAGUUCUAAAUCUUUUUUCACCACCUAGCUUGAAGGGGGGUGUUGAGAUGAUCAUAGAGGAAGGCUGAUGAGUUGUGUACAGCUGUCAUUCUGUUGUACAGUUGUCAUUCAGUUAUAACAGAAUGAUCACUAAUUGGUUAGGUGGUUAGCAAGUUAGUUAAUUAGCUGCUCUAUAAAUAGUAGCCAUUAGAGUAGAUAUUCUCAUUCUAUAAUCAUUCUCUUCUAUCAAUACAAAGAAACAGUUAUUUACUCUCUGUGUUUGCUUCGAUAAUGACCUAGAAGAUCUCAUAUUCACUCAUCAAUGGUGGAUUUUAACAUUUACUGCCAUUCCAAUUUGGCAAUUUUGUCUGUUCGCCACAUCCUUACACGAUUUGCCAUCAUGCGGUAUAUCUUUUUUAACCAAGUGUUCAAAUGAGAGCUGCUCUUCCCCUAUUCUUAAUCCCACUUCUUAUGUCUGUCAACAAGAGCCCAGCCCCUGGUUCAAUCGAUAGAUAGGCCGAAAACAUAUUUCUGGACAAAUGAACAGACCUUUCCUUUUGCCAACAAACCGGUCAAACAGAGUUCAGUCGAACUCAUUAACUUUAGUCUAAAUCUUGUAAUUUCUUAAGAAAUUAUAUAAAUAUGUAUAAAUUAUUUAAAUUUAGAACCCAUUAACUUAAAAGAGGUAGAAUCCCGAAUGUAAUAGGGAUAGAAUAUA